rnacentral:rRNA from 1 species
AGAGUUUGAUCCUGGCUCAGGACGAACGCUGGCGGCACGCUUAACACAUGCAAGUCGAACGAGAGAAGAGGAGCUUGCUUUUCUGAUCUAGUGGCGGACGGGUGAGUAACACGUGAGCAAUCUGCCUUUCAGAGGGGGAUACCGAUUGGAAACGAUCGUUAAUACCGCAUAACAUAAUUGAACCGCAUGAUUUGAUUAUCAAAGAUUUAUCGCUGAAAGAUGAGCUCGCGUCUGAUUAGCUAGUUGGUAAGGUAACGGCUUACCAAGGCGACGAUCAGUAGCCGGACUGAGAGGUUGAUCGGCCACAUUGGGACUGAGACACGGCCCAGACUCCUACGGGAGGCAGCAGUGGGGAAUAUUGCACAAUGGAGGAAACUCUGAUGCAGCGAUGCCGCGUGAGGGAAGAAGGUUUUAGGAUUGUAAACCUCUGUCUUCAGGGACGAAAAAAGACGGUACCUGAGGAGGAAGCUCCGGCUAACUACGUGCCAGCAGCCGCGGUAAUACGUAGGGAGCGAGCGUUGUCCGGAAUUACUGGGUGUAAAGGGAGCGUAGGCGGGAUCGCAAGUCAGAUGUGAAAACUAUGGGCUUAACCCAUAAACUGCAUUUGAAACUGUGGUUCUUGAGUGAAGUAGAGGUAAGCGGAAUUCCUAGUGUAGCGGUGAAAUGCGUAGAUAUUAGGAGGAACAUCAGUGGCGAAGGCGGCUUACUGGGCUUUAACUGACGCUGAGGCUCGAAAGCGUGGGGAGCAAACAGGAUUAGAUACCCUGGUAGUCCACGCCGUAAACGAUGAUUACUAGGUGUGGGGGGACUGACCCCUUCCGUGCCGCAGCAAACGCAAUAAGUAAUCCACCUGGGGAGUACGACCGCAAGGUUGAAACUCAAAGGAAUUGACGGGGGCCCGCACAAGCAGUGGAGUAUGUGGAUUAAUUCGAAGCAACGCGAAGAACCUUACCAGGUCUUGACAUCGUAUGCAUAGCUCAGAGAUGAGUGAAAUCUCUUCGGAGACAUAUAGACAGGUGGUGCAUGGUUGUCGUCAGCUCGUGUCGUGAGAUGUUGGGUUAAGUCCCGCAACGAGCGCAACCCUUACUGUUAGUUGCUACGCAAGAGCACUCUAGCAGGACUGCCGUUGACAAAACGGAGGAAGGUGGGGAUGACGUCAAAUCAUCAUGCCCCUUAUGACCUGGGCCUCACACGUACUACAAUGGCUGUCAACAGAGGGAAGCAAAGCCGCGAGGUGGAGCGAACCCCUAAAAGCAGUCUUAGUUCGGAUUGUAGGCUGCAACCCGCCUACAUGAAGUCGGAAUUGCUAGUAAUCGCAGAUCAGCAUGCUGCGGUGAAUACGUUCCCGGGCCUUGUACACACCGCCCGUCACGCCAUGGGAGUCGGUAACACCCGAAGCCUGUAGUCUAACCGCAAGGAGGACGCAGUCGAAGGUGGGAUUGAUGACUGGGGUGAAGUCGUAACAAGGUA